GAUUGUCUGCAGCGAAUCUGCUUGAUUGCACUCGUCUGCUGGAUCCGCCAAAUGGUACCUCCCUGCGGGAUACCCGUAGUCAUUCUAGAGCUAAAACAUGCCUAAGAUCUCCACUUUUUGGAAAGGAUGUCUUUAGAUCAUUAAGAACUCCUGGCGGCCGCUGCUCAAUCGCUGAUGCAUACUAACUUUUCUGAUCGCAUCGCUUCACGUCUAAGGCCAUCAAAUACAAUUUCUGCCCUAUCAGCUUCCUCCGGUUCUGCCGAUGGCCACCGUGGCGUUAACGGCUGAUUCAAAAUUAGGGUUCGACUCCGGAAAGGGAACCUGACAAACGGCUACCCCAUCCAAGGAAGGAAGCACGCGCGCAACUUACCCACUCCCGACACGGGGAGGUGUGACUGUAAAUACUGAUUUUGGGCUGUUUCGGGUAAUUUAAUCGGGAUGAGUCCAAUUUAGCCGCGUUCACCAGGAAUAACCGGAAGGCUCCUCUGGUGCCAGCAUCCUCCCUCCUUCCCCCUCCAGAUUCGAAUUUUCAAAUUGUCUCAAUUAAGACGCUCGAAGCUGAGCUUUGUACCUGGGUGGCCGGCCCGCCGCUUGACACUACCUGGGAUGGCCAGGACUUUCAUCCUGGGGAUUCGCCUGCCAUUUACUGGAAGUGUUGCGUGACCAGUGCUUUCACUCUGAGAAAAUUAGAGUGAUCCAAGCAGUCUUCUGCUCGACUACUUAAUCCUGAAUA
rnacentral:rRNA from 1 species